rnacentral:rRNA from 1 species
GAUGAACGCUGGCGGCGUGCCUAAUACAUGCAAGUCGAACGCACAGCGAAAGGUGCUUGCACCUUUCAAGUGAGUGGCGAACGGGUGAGUAACACGUGGACAACCUGCCUCAAGGCUGGGGAUAACAUUUGGAAACAGAUGCUAAUACCGAACAAAACUCAGUGUCGCAUGACACAAAGUUAAAAGGCGCUUUGGCGUCACCUAGAGAUGGAUCCGCGGUG